GAUCAUGCUAUGCAAACAGAUAUCAAAGAAAUACCAGAAUUAAAGGAGCUAGCUAUUGCUGCACAAGCUUUAAUCAAGAAAGAGGCCCAAAUUCAACAAAGCUACCAACAAGUUAUGUGAUGCGCUGGCUGUUCUCAGAGCAAAUAUCGAGAAGUAUUACAACAUAAAUGGAGAAGACACAGAAUGUUCACCAGGAAAACUUUUGAAGCUUUCACGUAACAAGCUACAUGAGAAAGAGUCCAUAACUGAAGAUCUGGAGAGAAAAUUGCAGGAAUACCAAGAAAAAGGAAGGG